UACGGAGGGGGCUAGCGUUGUUCGGAAUUACUGGGCGUAAAGCGUACGUAGGCGGCUUUGUAAGUUAGAGGUGAAAGCCCGGGGCUCAACUCCGGAACUGCCUUUAAGACUGCAUCGCUAGAACGUCGGAGAGGUGAGUGGAAUUCCGAGUGUAGAGGUGAAAUUCGUAGAUAUUCGGAAGAACACCAGUGGCGAAGGCGGCUCACUGGACUGGUAUUGACGCUGAGGUGCGAAAGCGUGGGGAGCAAACAGG
rnacentral:rRNA from 1 species